GAUGAAGAACGUAGCGAAAUGCGAUAAGUAAUGUGAAUUGCAGAAUUCAGUGAAUCAUCGAAUCUUUGAACGCACCUUGCGCUCUUUGGUAUUCCGAAGAGCAUGCCUGUUUGAGUGUCAUGAAAAUAUCAACCUUGACUUGGGUUUUGUGCUCUAGUCUCGGCUUGGAAUUGGGUGCUUGCCGCUUUUACGAGCGGCUCACCUUAAAUGUAUUAGCUGGAUCUGUCUUUGAGACUUGGUUUGACUUGGCGUAAUAAGUAUUUCGCUAAGGACAUUCUUCGGAGUGGCCUCGUUUCUAGGACGCUUGUCCGCUUUCCAAUACAAGUUCCAUCUCGUGGACAUGACUUUUUAUUAUCUGGCCUCAAAUCAGGUAGGACUACCCGCUGAACUUAAGCAUAUCAAUAAGCGGAGGA
rnacentral:misc_RNA from 1 species